rnacentral:misc_RNA from 1 species
AAAGUCGUAACAAGGUAACCGUAGGUGAACCUGCGGUUGGAUCAUUAUAAAAAAUACCAAACAUGAGGAGCGUUCGACACAUGCAUUCAUCUGUCUGAGCUAGUACCAUGAUUGAUCUACCAUCUGUGAACUGAACUGUCUCUGGCAGGAGGGCAGCGUAAAAGCUGCUUGUCAGCAAGUGCUCUUUUGCAUUUGCCGUGGACAUCCUGUCAACCACUUCCAUAACUUUUAAUCAUCUAUCUUGAUUGUCUGACAUAACCUGUAUAUAAUACAUAAAACAACUUUUGGCAACGGAUCUCUUGGCUCUC